CACAAAAUAUAAAUAAAAAUAUUUUAUCAGUUUUUUCUUAUUAUAAUUAAAAAAGAACUGGAGACUAUAAAAGGGUAUGCAUGGAAGUCUAGAGAUCACAGAAAACACACACUUCAUUUCUUAAGAAAAAAGUUGUUGAAGUUUGAAGAGAUCAUGAGGGCAAUAUAUAUUAUCAGCAUCAUUAUAGUGAGCUUGAGCAUUUUCUCUUGUGGUGGGAAUGCUCGACUUCUUCCUGCUAAUAGAGAUUAUCCAUGGGCAAUGUUUGCCCUAAGGCUUCAAUGGCCAGCUGGAUUUUACGAGGUCAACAAUGACUGUGAUACAAAGUCUCUCCUCAACACAUUUACCAUUCACGGCCUUUAUCCCUAUAACGCGAAGGGGAUCCCAGUGUUAUAUUGUGACGGAACUGCCUUUGAUGUUAACUCUGUGAGUUCUCUCAGUCUGCAUUUAAUUUACUUCUUAAAAUCCUUGCUCUAUUGUCUAUUAAAUAUGUUUUUUUGUGGUAACAUUUAUAUAUAUCUUGAAGAGUUGGAUAUGUUUGUUUGAUAAAAAAAAUGAAAUUGUACAUGCAAUAUAUAUCCAUACAUACUCACAUAUGUUAAACUAAUUUCUCUCCUCCUUUAUUUUGAAAAUUAACAGGUAUCGGACUUUCAAGCAGAAAUGCAUCUUGCAUGGCCGAGUCAUGAAACUAAUACUGAGGACAAACAAUUCUGGGAACACGAGUGGAAUAAACAUGGAAGGUGCUCAGAAGCUUUGUUGAAGCAGACUGAUUAUUUUAGAACGGCGCUUGCUUUUAGAAAAGCAUUUGAUAUAAUUGGGCUACUAAACCAGGAAGGUAAACAUACCCAUUGAUAUAUAAUUAAAUAGUCUUUAAUUUGGUUCAUUAAUUGCUUCCUAAGGGAACUACGUACUUAAUUUAGAUUUUGUGGAUGAUUAAUUGAUAAUGUGAGUUUGAUGAGAUUACUAUUCAAAAAUGUGUAGGGAUUUACCCGAAUAACGACCUUUAUCGUCCUAAAAUGAUAAAAGAAGCAAUCAAAAAGCACUUGAAUGCUGUGCCAGAAAUCGAUUUCACCAAAAACGAAAACUCAGAAUAUGUGCUUACGGAUAUUAAUCUAUGUGUGAACCAACAAGCAACAAGGUUCGUAGAUUGCCCUACCGAUGACGCUACUGAUGACUACCGCCUCAAAUUCGUAAGACUACCUUCUAAAAUGAAAAUUGCGGAUCCGAGGACCAAUUCUAUAAUAUAGCACAAAUGGUACGGCUACAAAAUGGACUACUAUCUUGUUUAAUUAAUGCUUUUGGGAGUAUAUAUUAUCUAUGUAAAAUAGUUAUGAGUGCUAGGGUUGGCUAAUUAGUACUAUGAGGCCAACCUUUAGUAUCUCUUGAAUAAUGUCCAUGUAGCAAAAGUUUAUAGCACUCUGGCCUUGGUGUGUAUGGAUAAUUAUAAUAAAUGACUACUUUUAUCUGCAAAAAAAAAUAAAAUCCAAGUAUUUUCUUUUGUUUUUAUUUUUGAUAAGAAUUUAAUUUUAUGUAGUUUGAUGGCAUAGUUUAUCUAGGAAGCUGAUAUUUUCACAUGUUAAAAUGAUAUUUUCAAACGAGUCUCUCACAAUAUGGAUGUGGGACUUGCUCACUAUUCAUGUGAGAGGGAUUAUGUGAAAAUA
rnacentral:lncRNA from 1 species